GUCCCGGUAGUCCAAUGGCAGAACGUGCGGCUGUUAACCGUAUAAUGAAGGUUCAAUUCCUUCCCGAGACGCCA
rnacentral:tRNA from 1 species